rnacentral:tRNA from 1 species
GGGAAAGUAGCUCAGCGGUAGAGUGCAUGCCUUGCAAGCAUGCCCUGGGUUCGAUUCCUCAGCACCA